rnacentral:rRNA from 1 species
GAGACGCUGGCGGCGUGCUUAACACAUGCAAGUCGAACGGUGACGAGGAGCUUGCUCCUCCGAUCAGUGGCGAACGGGUGAGUAACACGUGAGUAACCUGCCCCAGACUCUGGAAUAACAGUUGGAAACAGCUGCUAAUACCGGAUACGAGACGGAGAGGCAUCUCUACCGUCUGGAAAGUUUUCGGUCUGGGAUGGACUCGCGGCCUAUCAGCUUGUUGGUGAGGUAAUGGCUCACCAAGGCGACGACGGGUAGCCGGCCUGAGAGGGCGACCGGCCACACUGGGACUGAGACACGGCCCAGACUCCUACGGGAGGCAGCAGUGGGGAAUAUUGCACAAUGGGCGAAAGCCUGAUGCAGCAACGCCGCGUGAGGGAUGACGGCCUUCGGGUUGUAAACCUCUUUCAGUAGGGAAGAAGCGAAAGUGACGGUACCUACAGAAGAAGCACCGGCUAACUACGUG